UGUGUGUGAGAGAGAGAGAGAGAGUGAAAUAUGUUAACAAAGUUUUGAGCAUUCACACAGGUCAAAGAUUAAGUACUCUAAUUAUCAAAGCAAUUUUCCGUAUUGCAUCCCAAUGCACAGUCCCAAUAAAUGAGAUAUCUUAAUAAGUAUGCAAAAAAAUGAAAAUAUUCUGAGAGAAUAACGGGAAUCAUGCCUUCCAAACAGAGAGAGCCUGUGUGAACAGUGGGUAUAAAGAUAUGAUGAUAGGUAACAAACAUGCAGCUCAUAUGAGCAUGACAAUAGCUUUGAACAAGUUUUCAUAGUACAGUUUAAAAUAAAUUCUCACCAGUGUAAUCGUUUUGGUUAGGCCUACUCAGAUUGAUUGAAAGUCUUUUAGUACAAUAGAAGAGCAGUAGAACUUAAACCUAUGAUUUUACCACUCCCAUAAUUAUCUGAGCUACGCCCAGGUAGCAUUUAAUUGAAAGUGAAAGCAAGUUGAAUGCAAUAAAACCAGCACCGAUUUGAGGAUUCAAGUCUUCCUUCUUGUUCUAAAUGUCUACAUAUAGCCAUUUUGUUUUAUUUACAAAGCCAAGUAUUCUCACACUCCAAGCAGGUGCUCCGAGACCCGGUACAUCCCCUGCCCCUAUUAAUUCAAUUGGUUGAAUAUUAAAUAAUAUAUUUUGCAGUUUAUAUUGGCAUGAAGAAGAACCAAUUAUAAUCAAGCAUUUAAUGUUAAUCAAACCCUAGUUUUUUGCUAGAAAAUAUUCCAUCAGCCAAAAUACCCACUUAAGGUUUACAGAUGCAUUCAUUUACUAUGCAUUUACAUUUAUGGUAAAACUUUUCAUAGCAUUUAUUGACCAAUAUUGUAAUUUAGUACACAUGUAUGGGCUAAAUUCCACUACCAGAAAAGUCAAUGCCAAAACCCUUCUGCUGAAAGUUGGCAUUGGAUCAUCAAGCUUCCGUAAUUGGCGUGUUAAUAUAUUAAAAUGUGCUACAAAAUUAUUAUGGUUCAUUAUUAUGUCGUCUAGCAUUGUAUUUGCAACACUAACUGUUUGGAAAUGCAAAUGCACUCCGGUUCUCAGCUUUAGACCCUUUCCCUGCGUGCUUUUUCCCUCUUCCUGUCAAAGCAUAACUAAGCAUUUGCACUCUUAGGCUUAAUUUGUUUCGGGGAAAAUAAUUUGUCUAUGAAAAAUAUUUUUCGAGUAAAUCAUUUUUUGAGAAAUGACAUACUUUCAGUUGUUUGGUUACAGUGUUGAAAUUAUUCUCUUACAUUCAGUAUAAAUUGGAAAACUCUUUCAAUAUAUAAGACUAUGAAAAUGUUAGGAUAUACAAGAACAAUAUAUUUUGGAUUUUGGAUUAUCAAUGAUAUGCUCAGUAGACUAACAAGUGUCUCUAUGAUGUUUUUGCUUCAAGAAGUCAUUUUCCUUGAAAAUAACUUAGUUUUCCCUUUGACUAAAAAAAACAUUUUCCCAUGAACAAUUUUCUUAAGCACUCCGAAUGCCAGAAAUGCA
rnacentral:misc_RNA from 1 species